GACGAACCGAGCGAACGUUAUUCGGAAUCACUGGGCUUAAAGGGCGCGUAGGCGGGCCGUCAAGUCAGGGGGUGAAAGCCCCCCAGCUCAACUGGGGAAGUGCCUCUGAUACUGGCGGCCUCGAGGGAGGUAGGGGCGUGCGGAACUUCCGGUGGAGCGGUGAAAUGCGUAGAUAUCGGAAGGAACACCGGUGGCGAAAGCGGCGCGCUGGACCUCUUCUGACGCUGAGGCGCGAAAGCCAGGGGAGCAAACGGG
rnacentral:rRNA from 1 species